UACGGGGGGGGCAAGCGUUGUUCGGAAUUACUGGGCGUAAAGGGCUCGUAGGGGGCCAACUAAGUCAGACGUGAAAUCCCUCAGCUUAACUGGGGAACUGCGUCUGAUACUGGAUGGCUUGAGUUUGGGAGAGGGAUGCGGAAUUCCAGGUGUAGCGGUGAAAUGCGUAGAUAUCUGGAGGAACACCGGUGGCGAAGGCGGCAUCCUGGACCAACACUGACACUGAGGAGCGAAAGCCAGGGGAGCAAACGGG
rnacentral:rRNA from 1 species